rnacentral:rRNA from 1 species
GACGAACGCUGGCGGCGUGCUUAACACAUGCAAGUCGAACGGAAAGGCCCUGCUUUUGUGGGGUGCUCGAGUGGCGAACGGGUGAGUAACACGUGAGUAACCUGCCCUUGACUUUGGGAUAACUUCAGGAAACUGGGGCUAAUACCGGAUAGGAGCUCCUGCUGCGUGGUGGGGGUUGGAAAGUUUCGGCGGUUGGGGAUGGACUCGCGGCUUAUCAGCUUGUUGGUGGGGUAGUGGCUUACCAAGGCUUUGACGGGUAGCCGGCCUGAGAGGGUGACCGGCCACAUUGGGACUGAGAUACGGCCCAGACUCCUACGGGAGGCAGCAGUGGGGAAUAUUGCACAAUGGGCGGAAGCCUGAUGCAGCAACGCCGCGUGCGGGAUGACGGCCUUCGGGUUGUAAACCGCUUUCGCCUGUGGCGAAGCGUGAGUGACGGUAAUGGGUAAAGAAGCACCGGCUAACUACGUG